rnacentral:rRNA from 1 species
UACGUAGGGUGCAAGCGUUAAUCGGAAUUACUGGGCGUAAAGCGUGCGCAGGCGGUUCUAUAAGACAGAUGUGAAAUCCCCGGGCUCAACCUGGGAACUGCAUUUGUGACUGUAGAGCUGGAGUGCGGCAGAGGGGGAUGGAAUUCCGCGUGUAGCAGUGAAAUGCGUAGAUAUGCGGAGGAACACCGAUGGCGAAGGCAAUCCCCUGGGCCUGCACUGGACGCUCAUGCACGAAAGCGUGGGGAGCAAACGGG